CCGCGUAAUGCCGCGGGGCUGCAUGGCCCUGCGGCCAAAGGGAGCGAUUCCGGCAACGGAUGGGCAUGCGUGACAUUAGCUAGUUGGCGGGGCAACGGCCCACCAAGGCGACGAUGUCUAGGGGUUCUGAGAGGAAGGUCCCCCACACUGGUACUGAAACACGGACCAGACUCCUACGGGAGGCAGCAGUGAGGAAUAUUGGUCAAUGGGCGCGAGCCUGAACCAGCCAAGUCGCGUGAGGGAUGACGGCCCUACGGGUUGUAAACCUCUUUUGUCGGGGAGCAAAUUCCGCCACGUGUGGCGGAGUCGAGAGUACCCGAAGAAAAAGCAUCGGCUAACUCCGUGCCAGCAGCCGCGGUAAUACGGAGGAUGCGAGCGUUAUCCGGAUUUAUUGGGUUUAAAGGGUGCGUAGGCGGACUGUCAAGUCAGCGGUAAAAUACGGGGGCUCAACCUCCGCCCGCCGUUGAAACUGACGGUCUUGAGUGGGCGAGAAGUAUGCGGAAUGCGUGGUGUAGCGGUGAAAUGCAUAGAUAUCACGCAGAACUCCGAUUGCGAAGGCAGCAUACCGGCGCCCGACUGACGCUGAAGCACGAAAGCGUGGGUAUCGAACAGGAUUAGAUACCCUGGUAGUCCACGCAGUAAACGAU
rnacentral:rRNA from 1 species